rnacentral:rRNA from 1 species
UACGUAGGGUGCGAGCGUUGUCCGGAAUUAUUGGGCGUAAAGAGCUCGUAGGCGGUCUGUCGCGUCGGUCGUGAAAACCUGCAGCUUAACUGUGGGCGUGCGGUCGAUACGGGCAUGACUGGAGUUCGGCAGGGGGAGACUGGAAUUCCUGGUGUAGCGGUGAAAUGCGCAGAUAUCAGGAGGAACACCGGUGGCGAAGGCGGGUCUCUGGGCCGAUACUGACGCUGAGGAGCGAAAGCGUGGGGAGCGAACAGG